rnacentral:lncRNA from 1 species
UGCAUUAAAGAAGGUUUUGAAACUUAUAUGUGUUGUACUAUUUUUGUUUAUCUUAUUGAAUAUUUAAAACUCCUCCAAAUUCCACCCCCUUCCCUAGAUACCGAGUGUAUUUUAUUUUGUACUUGAGGCUUGUAUUUUGUUUUAGGUUAUCUUUUAUUUUGUAUUGUAUAGUGUAGAUAGCUUAUUUGGCCUCUGGAUGUCAUCUUUUGUAAACUACAUAUU